UGGUGCCCGAACAGCGAAGGACCUGAUGGAAGAUUGAUUUGGGAGCGGACGGACAAGAGCACCGGCAUCGCAGCGGCUGAGCCGGGGGGCGGCAUCGCCUAGACCGACCAAAAGGGGUCUGCACGGGAUCUGGAGGGCACGGAACAGAGCUCCGUUGACAGUGGGCGCUGCGUGCGGUGAGACGCGGAUUGCAGUGCACCAUGGAAAGUGAGAUAAUGGAAGGGCUUAAACAAAUUCGACAAGGAAGACUUUCUUCCGACUAUUCCCCAUCUCCCUCCCUCCCAUCCCCCGCCGCUGCCGCUCCGCGCAGCAAGCAGCCCUGGUCCGUAUUCGAUCCGCGGCUCCGACCCCGCCCCCGACCGUGGGGAAGAGAAAUCCCGACCCCCCCCAUCGCCGCUGCCCUCGGUUCCGCCCCCGGCGCUCAUCCCGCUCCCGCCCUCCGCUCCGCCCCUGACGCUCGCCGCGCCGCUCCCACCCUCUGACCCGCCGAGGAAGCUCAUCAGUACUUGCUAUAACCUUGCAUCAUUCAGAUGAUGACCCUAUUUGGAUUCCUGCUCGCAGUGUUCACCCUUGGCGCAGAAGCACUACCUGAACCACACCAAAUCAACCCGCGGCAACACAUGUGGGUCACCUGCGCUAAAUCAGCAGGCCGGACCAACUUCUGCUUAGCGCUUGCUUCUGCCACUGAUCCCUUCCAAACUUGUUUUGAAAGGAUGCUGUUUUUCAAUGAUUCUAACUUUUCUGCUUACUCCACAGGACAUGCAUGACAUCCGCUCUAAACACACGGGUAGCUUUAGUUGUCCUUAUCCCAGGGGCUGUUGCUGGGAAUAAGUAUUAUAACUAUUAGUAUAGUAUAUUUAUUGGUACUGUAAAAUGUUUACUUAGGGGAAAAAAAA